rnacentral:tRNA from 1 species
GGAGAGGUGUCCGAGUUGGCCGAAGGAGCACGACUGGAAAUCGUGUCCCCGUCGAAAACCGGGGCGCGGGUUCGAAUCCCGCCCUCUCCG